rnacentral:rRNA from 1 species
UGGGGAAUAUUGCACAAUGGGGGAAACCCUGAUGCAGCGACGCCGCGUGGAGGAAGAAGGUCUUCGGAUUGUAAACUCCUGUUGUUGAGGAAGAUAAUGACGGUACUCAACAAGGAAGUGACGGCUAACUACGUGCCAGCAGCCGCGGUAAAACGUAGGUCACAAGCGUUGUCCGGAAUUACUGGGUGUAAAGGGAGCGCAGGCGGGAGAACAAGUUGGAAGUGAAAUCCAUGGGCUCAACCCAUGAACUGCUUUCAAAACUGUUUUUCUUGAGUAGUGCAGAGGUAGGCGGAAUUCCCGGUGUAGCGGUGGAAUGCGUAGAUAUCGGGAGGAACACCAGUGGCGAAGGCGGCCUACUGGGCACCAACUGACGCUGAGGCUCGAAAGUGUGGGUAGCAAAC